rnacentral:tRNA from 1 species
UGGCUCAGUGGUAGAGUUCUUGCCUUGCAUGCAUGAGGCCCUGGGUUCGUUUCCCAG